GGCUUUGUGGUGUAAUGGUUAGCACACUCGGCGCGUAUUCGAGAGGUCCAGGUUCGAACCCCGACGGAGAUA
rnacentral:tRNA from 1 species